GGUGAACGCUGGCGGCGUGCCUAAUACAUGCAAGUCGAGCGAACAGACGAGGAGCUUGCUCCUCUGACGUUAGCGGCGGGCGGGUGAGUAACACGUGGAUAACCUACCUAUAAGACUGGGAUAACUUCGGGAAACCGGAGCUAAUACCGGAUAAUAUAUUGAACCGCAUGGUUCAAUAGUGAAAGACGGUUUUGCUGUCACUUAUAGAUGGAUCCGCGCCGCAUUAGCUAGUUGGUAAGGUAACGGCUUACCAAGGCAACGAUGCGUAGCCGACCUGAGAGGGUGAUCGGCCACACUGGAACUGAGACACGGUCCAGACUCCUACGGGAGGCAGCAGUAGGGAAUCUUCCGCAAUGGGCGAAAGCCUGACGGAGCAACGCCGCGUGAGUGAUGAAGGUCUUCGGAUCGUAAAACUCUGUUAUUAGGGAAGAACAAAUGUGUAAGUAACUAUGCACGUCUUGACGGUACCUAAUCAGAAAGCCACGGCUAACUACGUG
rnacentral:rRNA from 1 species